rnacentral:rRNA from 1 species
AGCGUACACGGUGGAUGCCUAGGCAGUCAGAGGCGAUGAAGGGCGUGCUAAUCUGCGAAAAGCGUCGGUAAGGUGAUAUGAACCGUUAUAACCGGCGAUACCCGAAUGGGGAAACCCAGUGUGUUUCGACACACUAUCAUGUCAUGAAUACAUAGUGGCAUGAGGCGAACCGGGGGAACUGAAACAUCUAAGUACCCCGAGGAAAAGAAAUCAACCGAGAUUCCCCCAGUAGCGGCGAGCGAACGGGGAGGAGCCCAGAACCUGAAUCGGCUUGUGUGUUAGUGGAAGCGUCUGGAAAGUCGCGCAGCAAAGGGUGAUAGCCCCGUACACUAAAAUGCACAGGUCGUGAGUUCGAUGAGUAGGGCGGGACACGUGACAUCCUGUCUGAAUAUGGGGGGACCAUCCUCCAAGGCUAAAUACUCCUGACUGACCGAUAGUGAACCAGUACCGUGAGGGAAAGGCGAAAAGAACCCCGGCGAGGGGAGUGAAAUAGAACCUGAAACCGUGUACGUACAAGCAGUGGGAGCACCUUCGUGGUGUGACUGCGUACCUUUUGUAUAAUGGGUCAGCGACUUAUAUUUUGUAGCAAGGUUAACCGUAUAGGGGAGCCGUAGGGAAACCGAGUCUUAACUGGGCGACUAGUUGCAAGGUAUAGACCCGAAACCCGGUGAUCUAGCCAUGGGCAGGUUGAAGGUUGGGUAACACUAACUGGAGGACCGAACCGACUAAUGUUGAAAAAUUAGCGGAUGACUUGUGGCUGGGGGUGAAAGGCCAAUCAAACCGGGAGAUAGCUGGUUCUCCCCGAAAGCUAUUUAGGUAGCGCCUCGUGAACUCAUCUUCGGGGGUAGAGCACUGUUUCGGCUAGGGGGCCAUCCCGGCUUACCAAACCGAUGCAAACUCCGAAUACCGAAGAAUGUUAUCACGGGAGACACACGGCGGGUGCUAACGUCCGUCGUGAAGAGGGAAACAACCCAGACCGCCAGCUAAGGUCCCAAAGUCAUGGUUAAGUGGGAAACGAUGUGGGAAGGCAUAGACAGCCAGGAUGUUGGCUUAGAAGCAGCCAUCAUUUAAAGAAAGCGUAAUAGCUCACUGGUCGAGUCGGCCUGCGCGGAAGAUGUAACGGGGCUAAACCAUGCACCGAAGCUGCGGCAGCGACGCUUAGGCGUUGUUGGGUAGGGGAGCGUUCUGUAAGCCGUUGAAGGUGGCCUGUGAGGGUUGCUGGAGGUAUCAGAAGUGCGAAUGCUGACAUAAGUAACGAUAAAGCGGGUGAAAAGCCCGCUCGCCGGAAGACCAAGGGUUCCUGUCCAACGUUAAUCGGGGCAGGGUGAGUCGACCCCUAAGGCGAGGCUGAAAAGCGUAGUCGAUGGGAAACAGGUUAAUAUUCCUGUACUUGGUGUUACUGCGAAGGGGGGACGGAGAAGGCUAGGCUAGCCGGGCGACGGUUGUCCCGGUUUAAGCGUGUAGGGGGUGUGACCUGGUAAAUCCGGUUGCAUAUCAACCCUGAGGCGUGAUGACGAUGCACUACGGUGCAGAAGUAGUUGAUGCCCUGCUUCCAGGAAAAUCCUCUAAGCUCCAGGUAACAUUAAAUCGUACCCCAAACCGACACAGGUGGUCAGGUAGAGAAUACCAAGGCGCUUGAGAGAACUCGGGUGAAGGAACUAGGCAAAAUGGUGCCGUAACUUCGGGAGAAGGCACGCUGGCAUGUAGGUGAAGUCCCUUGCGGAUGGAGCUGAAGCCAGUCGAAGAUACCAGCUGGCUGCAACUGUUUAAUAAAAACACAGCACUGUGCAAACACGAAAGUGGACGUAUACGGUGUGACGCCUGCCCGGUGCUGGAAGGUUAAUUGAUGGGGUCAGCCGCAAGGCGAAGCUCUUGAUCGAAGCCCCAGUAAACGGCGGCCGUAACUAUAACGGUCCUAAGGUAGCGAAAUUCCUUGUCGGGUAAGUUCCGACCUGCACGAAUGGCGUAAUGAUGGCCAGGCUGUCUCCACCCGAGACUCAGUGAAAUUGAACUCGCUGUGAAGAUGCAGUGUACCCGCGGCAAGACGGAAAGACCCCGUGAACCUUUACUAUAGCUUGACACUGAACAUUGAGCCUUGAUGUGUAGGAUAGGUGGGAGGCUUUGAAGCGUGGACGCCAGUCUGCGUGGAGCCAUCCUUGAAAUACCACCCUUUAAUGUUUGAUGUUCUAACUCGGCCCCAUAAUCUGGGGUGAGGACAGUGUCUGGUGGGUAGUUUGACUGGGGCGGUCUCCUCCCAAAGAGUAACGGAGGAGCACGAAGGUUAGCUAAUCACGGUCGGACAUCGUGAGGUUAGUGCAAAGGCAUAAGCUAGCUUGACUGCGAGAGUGACGGCUCGAGCAGGUACGAAAGUAGGUCUUAGUGAUCCGGUGGUUCUGAAUGGAAGGGCCAUCGCUCAACGGAUAAAAGGUACUCCGGGGAUAACAGGCUGAUACCGCCCAAGAGUUCAUAUCGACGGCGGUGUUUGGCACCUCGAUGUCGGCUCAUCACAUCCUGGGGCUGAAGUAGGUCCCAAGGGUAUGGCUGUUCGCCAUUUAAAGUGGUACGCGAGCUGGGUUUAGAACGUCGUGAGACAGUUCGGUCCCUAUCUGCCGUGGGCGUUGGAAGAUUGAGAGGGGUUGCUCCUAGUACGAGAGGACCGGAGUGAACGCACCACUGGUGUUCGGGUUGUCAUGCCAAUGGCAUUGCCCGGUAGCUAAGUGCGGAAAAGAUAAGCGCUGAAAGCAUCUAAGCGCGAAACUUGCCUCAAGAUGAGUCUUCCCUGGGCCUUUAAGGCCCCUGAAGGAACGUUUAAGACUAAGACGUUGA